rnacentral:lncRNA from 1 species
GUGACUUCUGCCUUUAAAGUGUCAUUUGCCUUAAUGGGGUUGACAGAAGGCCACCUGCCACAUGACCUAUGUCCUGCAGGGUGUCCCCUGACCUCCUUCUCAAGCCCACUCAAAUUCUAUGGCUGCAGAGACAGAAGCCCCAAAUGGACCCGCUAUUCAAGUGUCUAGCCCAGGCUGACUUUUGUCUUCUGUCCAGGGGAAAGCUGGCGGUGAGUGCUUGCUCUUUCCUCUUCAAUGAACCUGCUUUUCCAUCUUGGAAGAGGAUGAAAUGCACCUCUCAGAAUGCAAGUUUCCCUGCGGACACUAUCCCCAGUGGUGGAGUGAUGGAGAGAACUGAGAUGAGGUCAGGGAACAACUGAACUAAAAACUCACGAAAUGGAAGAACUCUCUGCUCCUUUUCCAGCACCAUGCUGCCUGUGCACCACCAUGCUUCCUGCCAUGAUGAUAAUGGGCUAAACCUCUAAAAGUCUAAGCAAGCUCC